AGUGGCCCCGAAUUUUUGAGAGUGUUAGAAUUAAUAUAGGCCAAACAACAACUAGAAAAAAGUCGGCGCUGGUGGCCACCGUCUUCGAUGUGGGAUGAACUCGGAUACACAGAAGCAUGGAUCUUACAAUGUGCAAGCAUCUCCUCCAAGUAAUGGUGAAGUCGCUAUGGGAAGUAGUAGCAAAUUGAACGAAACCACCGCGUUAUCGUGGUCCUCGGGGGCCUGACCAGCCCGCCGUCAUCCAAGCACUGACCAACCUGCCUACCGACGUCAGCUCCCUGCCCUGAAACCCCUGGCCAGCCCACCGUCCUCGGCACCUUGCCUAAUUCCUAUCCUGAGGGCAGUGCCUGUAAAUAAACUGUUUGAAGAUA
rnacentral:lncRNA from 1 species